UACGGAGGGUGCAAGCGUUAUCCGGAUUCACUGGGUUUAAAGGGUGCGUAGGUGGGUUGGUAAGUCAGUGGUGAAAUCUCCGUGCUUAACAUGGAAACUGCCAUUGAUACUACUGAUCUUGAAUUUUCCGGAGGUAGCGAAUAUGUCAUGUAGCGGUGAAAUGCUUAGAUAUGACAUAGAACACCAAUUGCGAAGGCAGCUUACUACAGGGACAUUGACACUGAGGCACGAAAGCUGGGGAUCAAACAGG
rnacentral:rRNA from 1 species